rnacentral:lncRNA from 10 species
UGAUUCCACUGGUCAAAUGAUGUGAGACACAGGGGAAGACCUAUGAAAGCCUGCUGGUGCUAAGACAUUGAGCUAAAUGUCUUAAGUGGUGAAUAGUUCGAACAGAGAAGACAGGAACAGACUGCACAGGACAAGCCCAUCCAAAUCAGAGGUUUCAGAGAGGCUCCAUCUGAUUGUGGAUAUUUUGCAAAUGAAUGGAUUACAAAAAAGAACUUUAAAGAGGAAAACAUUGUACUAGAAGACCUCUUCCCUGCACUCCUGUAGGUCAAUUACCAAAACAGACAAACAAACUGUGGACUCUUGAAGAAAACGGAGAAAACAAAAAAUAAUUACACUGCAGUCUUAAAAGAGAGAAGUUAAAAGGCAAAACUGUAUUUCAUCCUUGUCUUAUAAACAGUGAAUUGUAAAACUUGUCUAUCACUUUUUUUUAAAUUUUCAACCACUGGCUUUUUUUUUAAGAAAAGGAAAAGAAAUUUCUGUAGUCCAAAACAAUGUUUACUUGUAAAAAUUGAUGAUGUCUUAAAAUGGGAUAGAGAUUAGCACAGCUCUGUCUACUGGAAGUGUAAUAUAAGGCACAUAGGUACUUUUAAAGU